GAAGCUGUGGCCUAGUAGAUAAGGUGAUUGACUGGAGAUCAAAAGGUCGCUUGUUCAAUCCCCAUCUCUG